UACGGAGGGAGCUAGCGUUGUUCGGAAUUACUGGGCGUAAAGCGCGCGUAGGCGGCUUUGUAAGUUAGAGGUAGAAAGCCCGGGGCUCAACCCCGGAAUUGCCUUUAAGACUGCAUCGCUUGAAUCCGGGAGAGGUGAGUGGAAUUCCGAGUGUAGAGGUGAAAUUCGUAGAUAUGUGGAGGAAUACCGAAUGGGCGAAGGCAGCCCCCUGGGAUAACACUGACGCU
rnacentral:rRNA from 1 species